AGGAGGAUGAGAAAGAAGAGGGUAAAGUAUCUGUAAGGGAUAUUGAUAUAGAAGAAACCGCGAAAGAAGGUAAAGAGAAGAAGAAGAAAAAAGAAGACAAGGAAGAGAAGAAGAAGAAAUCUGGAAAGGAUAAGACCAAUGAUCCUAGUAAGCUGAAACAGAAGCUUGAAAAAGUGAAUGCAAAGUUAGAAGCACUCUUGGAAAAGAAGGCUGAUCUAGAAAGGCAGAUUAAAGAAGGUGAAGAUGGAGGUCA
rnacentral:lncRNA from 1 species